UCACUCUGAUCUCUCUUCAAAUGUCGAAUAAAUAUUUCGCCUUUUACUAAAGAUACACUUGGGGAGAGAUACUCUAAUGAGUCUGAAAUAGAACUUUUUGAAAAGUUUCGAUUCCUUU
rnacentral:snRNA from 1 species